UGCGCUACCUGGUUGAUCCUGCCAGUAGUCAUAUGCUUGUCUCAAAGAUUAAGCCAUGCAUGUCUAAGUAUAAGUACUCGACUGACGAAACUGCGAACGGCUCAUUAAAACAGUAAUAAUUGGUGUGAAGGGCAGUCAUACACGGGCAACCGUGGGAAACCAAGGCUAAUACGUGCGAAUGGCCUCGCCAGCGUUUAUUAGAUAAAGAGCCAGCAAUCGGUGUUUCAUGGUAACCAAUCUGAUCGCACGCUUCGGCGGCGACGGUUCAUUCAAGUUUCUGACCUAUCAGCUCUCGACGGUCGGGUAUUGGCCCACCGUGGCGUUAACGGGUGACGGGGAAUUGGGGUUCGAUUCCGGAGAGGGAGCCUGAGAGAUGGCUACCACGUCUAAGGAUGGCAGCAGGCGCGCAAAUUACCCAAUCCAGAUUCUGGGAGGUAGUGACAAGAAAUAGCAGGUCGAGACAUACGUCUUGGGAUUGCAAUGAGUAGAAUCUAAACGUUUCUACGAUUAUCAAUUGGAGGGCAAGUCUGGUGCCAGCAGCCGCGGUAAUUCCAGCUCCAAUAGCGUAUAUUAAAAUUGUUGCAGUUAAAACGCUCGUAGUUGAAUGUCUGUCUCGUGGUGUUCCGGUCCGCUUUCAGCGUGUACUUGGCACCAGUGGCAUCCGUUUGCGGCACUAGUGUCGCACAAGCCAUUCACUUUGAGGAAAUUAGAGUGUUCAACGCAGGCUGUUGUCUUGAAUACUUCAGCAUGGAAUGAUCGAUAGGACUUCGGCCCUGUCAGUUGGUUCGAGGGGUGAGGAGUAAUGAUGAAAAGGGUCGGUCGGGGGCAUUCGUAUUGAACAGUCAGAGGUGAAAUUCUAAGAUUUGUUCAAGACGCGCUACUGCGAAAGCAUUUGCCAAGUUUGACUCCAUUAAUCAAGAACGAAAGUUAGGGGAUCGAAGACGAUCAGAUACCGUCGUAGUCUUAACCAUAAACUAUGCCGACUAGAGAUUGGGGGCUGUCUUUUGACUCCUUCAGCAUCUUCAGAGAAAUCCAAGUUUUUGGGUUCUGGGGGGAGUAUGGUCGCAAGGCUGAAACUUAAAGGAAUUGACGGAAGGGCACCACCAGGAGUGGAGCCUGCGGCUUAAUUUGACUCAACACGGGGAAACUCACCAGGUCCAGACGUAGGCAGGAUUGACAGAUUGAUAGCUCUUUCUUGAUUCUAUGGGUGGUGGUGCAUGGCCGUUCCUAGUUCGUGGAUUGAUUUGUCUGGUUCAUUCCGUUAACGAGCGAGAUCUUAGCCUGCUAACUAGGUCGACAGAGCAUGAGGUCUGUUCGUACCUUCUUAGAGGGACAUUGCGCGUUUAGCGCACGGAAGUUUGAGGCAAUAACAGGUCUGUGAUGCCCUUAGAUGUUCUGGGCUGCACGCGCGCUACACUGACAGUUUCAGCAAGUGCCCUGCUCCGUGAGGACUGGGUAACCAACUGAGUCUGUGUCGUGAUGGGGAUAGAAUAUUGUAAUUAUUUCUCUUGAACGAGGAAUUCCUAGUAAGCGCGAGUCAGCAGCUCGCGCUGAUUACGUCCCUGCCCUUUGUACACACCGCCCGUCGCUCCUACCGAUUGGGUGAUCCGGUGAAUUAUUCGGACUCUGAUGGCGCUAGCACAUGGUGCUAUUGGCGAAAGUUCUUGUGAACCUUAUCACUGGAGGA
rnacentral:rRNA from 1 species